CUCUUUUCACAAAUGUUAUAAAAUUAAGCAAAGAUAAGAAAUUCCUGGAUAUUGGACUUGUUGGGCCAUUUCAGCACUCUUCAGUUAAGUCUUUUUCUUUCUCCAGAAUGAAUGCACUGGAAGCUAUAGCAUCACAUCUAAUGCUGAAGAAGAGAAGUAGAAUGUGUUUACUUCUUGCAAGUCCUCUUUCAUCAGAGGGUUGACCACUCCAGCUGCUAAUUCUUAAAUUAUCUGCUGAAUUCUUAAUCCCACAUGUUGUCAGUACAAACCAGAGUUUGUAC
rnacentral:lncRNA from 1 species